ensembl:lncRNA
CCAGCUCCUUUAAGAGAGGUUUCUUGACUCAGAGUUAACAGCAAAAACUGCAUGGCUCUUAAAAGAAGCCCUGUUACCAAACAAUUCAAUGAUGUUUACAAACAGCCAGCAACAUGCUUCUUGGUGGUGACUAGAAACUCUGCAGAGUUGUGGCAAUAAGUAUGGUUCCCACCAGUACUUCACCAUGAAGCUACUCUCAGAAAGCCAAGAAAUAGAAUGGGACCAGACACCUCUUUAAUUUAGCCAUACUGUUUAGCAGAUAAGACUCAUGUGGUUAGAAAAAAAGAUAGAGAUAUACAGUAAAGAUAGAUUCAGAGAAACAAAACCAUAUACAUAGGCUUGAGAGAGAAAAGGAAAAAAGCAAAAAUAAAAAAUAAAAAAAAAUAGAGUAUCUGGGUGUGGUGGCACAGGCCUUUAAUCCAAGCAGCUGGUAAGCAGAGGCAAGCAGAUCUCUUCGAUUUCAAGGCCAGCCUAGUUUAUAAAGUGAAUUCCAGGACAACCAAUGUUACACAGAGAAAACCUGUCUCAAAAAAUGAAAGUAAAAGAAAUAGAGUAAUAAAAUAAAAAAAGUCACAUAAAGAUGGAAAGUACACAGAAAGUCUGGAUAGUGUAUGUUAUUGUGUUGUCUUUAAAUUUCUGCUAAAGGAGAAACAGUUGCUAAAAGACAUUUGAUUAUAAAUGCUGCUAGAUAAAUCCAACCUAUAUAUUUUGAAUAUUCCUUGACUUUAAAGUUCAAGUAUAAGGACAUGUUACUUUGGAAAAGAGACUGUUUUUGUUUCCACAGAUGAUGAAAAGCUGUGGAUUCCUUCCAGACUAAUAAGGUUUGAUGAAGCAAAAGCCCCUUGGAGCAAUGGCCCAGACAGAAAAGAUGAGAUGAUGGAGGAUGUUCUUCUGUAUACAUGUUUGUGUUAUUGGUUGGAGAAUAAAACACUGGCCAGUAGCUACCAGAUGAGGAGAAUUCUGGGGAGAGGACAAAGAGAGGAGCCACAGGGAAAGCCAUGUAGCUACAGUGAAGAUGGGAUUGCUGGGUGUUCUUUGAUUUUCCAGGCCUGUAGGCUGAAGAUGGAUGCUCCAAUGUGCAAAGGAACCUUGGAUGAUUAUCCAGUCAGCCAACUGUUUAUGUUAUUUCUACAGUUUUGGAAAUUGCUUGCUCUGCACUUCCUGUUUACUCAGAGCAACCUCUUGGGCUUGUGAGCAUCUGCAAGAAGAAAAUUUCAUACCCUACAGCCUGGAAAAGGAAAUGCCUCAACCAAUUUUCCUGCACAGUGUGGAUGGAGUGACAAACACCUUCCCAGAGAGCCUCCAAGGAGGCAAACAAGGCAGAGGAGAGAAAGAACAUAGAAAAAUCCAUGUCUUGCAAAUGCCAAGAGAGAAAACAAUCAAAUUAUCUGGCAAGUCGAUCAUUCAGUGCAGUGUUGGGUUGGGGGUGGGGGAACUGAGAAUCUUGAAAAUCUUCUCGCAUGGGGAAGCAUGCACUACCUUUGCCUGGAACAGCAAAGGAAGCAAUGUUGAGAGGCCUUUUAUCUCAGCAUCCUGCGGGGCCUCCAGUUUGUGCUGCCAGGGGACAGAAUGCUUCUCCAUGGUGGUAGCUCUUUUUCUGCUCAGCUGCCAAGAGGCUGGCAUGUGUGUGGCUCAGCAGUGUGGCCCUCAGCCAGGGCCCGGCCAGCAGCAGCCACCCUCAGAGGAGGAGCACCUGUUCUCCCUAGCCUGGCAUUGAGAAGGUGC